GAUGAACGCUGGCGGCGUGCCUAAACACAUGCAAGUCGAACGAAGCUCCCCGAAUUGAGUUUUCGGACAAGAGGAAGGGAUGACUUAGUGGCGGACGGGUGAGUAACGCGUGAGCAACCUGCCUCGGAGUGGGGGACAACAGUUGGAAACGACUGCUAAUACCGCAUAACGUGCAGAGGGGACAUCUCCUUUGCACCAAAGAUUUAUUGCUCUGAGAUGGGGCUCACGUCUGAUUAGUUAGUUGGUAGGGUAACGGCCUACCAAGACUGCGAUCAGUAGCCGGACUGAGAGGUCGAACGGCCACAUUGGGACUGAGAUACGGCCCAGACUCCUACGGGAGGCAGCAGUGGGGAAUAUUGGGCAAUGGGCGAAAGCCUGACCCAGCAACGCCGCGUGAAGGAAGAAGGCCUUCGGGUUGUAACCUCUGUCCUUGGUGACGAAAAAAUGACGGUAGCCAAGGAGGAAGGCCCCGGCUAACGUACGUGCCAGCGAGCCGCGGUAAACUACGUACUACG
rnacentral:rRNA from 1 species